rnacentral:lncRNA from 1 species
UUGGUGCAGCUCUUUUCUGUAAAAUAUAUAAAGAAGUAUCAAUUUUAAAAAAAUAAAAAUAAUUUAAUCUAUAAAUUAAUAUUUUUAUGGACAAAUUUAUACACCUAUCAAUGAUUGAUUGUUGGAUAUCGUAGUCUUAGCUAGAGAAAAUAUAGUCUCAAAUUCAAGAAGAAAAUAGUAUAGGUGUAGAAAAAAUUAUAAAAAUUUUAGAAAAAAAAA